AUGUUUGUUUGAGUGUCGCAAUCUUCUGCAGCAAUGCGAUUUGACUCGUGUCUUUGUUGACCGUGUUUAAACAGAGCUAGAGGAUGGUCAGUUUGGACUAGUCCGAGUGCUAAGCAUUCUUGGGUCUAGGACGGAUUGAACAUUAAAAUCUAACUUUUUAUUUUGGCCUCAAAUCAAGCAAGACUACCCGCUGAACUUAA
rnacentral:misc_RNA from 1 species